GACGAACGCUGGCGGCGUGCCUAAUACAUGCAAGUUGAGCGAUGAAGAUUGGUGCUUGCACCAAUUUGAAGAGCAGCGAACGGGUGAGUAACGCGUGGGGAAUCUGCCUUUGAGCGGGGGACAACAUUUGGAAACGAAUGCUAAUACCGCAUAACAACUUUAAACAUAAGUUUUAAGUUUGAAAGAUGCAAUUGCAUCACUCAAAGAUGAUCCCGCGUUGUAUUAGCUAGUUGGUGAGGUAAAGGCUCACCAAGGCGAUGAUACAUAGCCGACCUGAGAGGGUGAUCGGCCACAUUGGGACUGAGACACGGCCCAAACGCCUACGGGAGGCAGCAGUAGGGAAUCUUCGGCAAUGGACGAAAGGCUGACCGAGCAACGCCGCGUGAGUGAAGAAGGUUUUCGGAUCGUAAAACUCUGUUGGUAGAGAAGAAAGUUGGUGAGAGUGGAAAGCUCAUCAAGUGACGGUAACUACCCAGAAAGGGACGGCUAACUACGUG
rnacentral:rRNA from 1 species